UAGGGAAUCUUCCGCAAUGGACGCAAGUCUGACGGAGCAACGCCGCGUGAGUGAAGAAGGAUUUCGGUUAGUAAAACUCGGUGGUUGGAAAAGAACAGCGCAUGGAGAAAUGGUUAUGCGUUUGACGGUACUUAACCAGAAAGCAACGCCUAACUACGUGCAAGCAGCCGCGGUAAUACGUAGGUGCCAAGCGUUGUCCGGAUUUAUUGGGCGUAAAGCGAGCGCAGGCGGUUAGAUAAGUCUGAAGUUAAAGGCAGUGGCUCAACCAUUGUAGGCUUUGGAAACUGUUUAACUUGAGUGCAGAAGGGGAGAGUGGAAUUCCAUGUGUAGCGGUGAAAUGCGUAGAUAUAUGGAGGAACACCGGCGGCGAAAGCGGCUCUCUGGUCUGUAACUGACGCUGAGGCUCGAAAGCGUGGGGAGCGAACAGG
rnacentral:rRNA from 1 species